AUUAAAUCCUAUUUGGCGCAUUUCUGCAUUCGGGCAAAAGUCAGCACAUAGACGGGCUGAGAACGUAAUCACCUUACACCACCAGACACACACACGCCGAGAGCCGACAGACCAAACACUUCAAGGAUGGGAUGCAACAACAGCAAAGGAACAACCGAAGGCAGUGCCCCAGCUGCAAAUAGCGGGCAACAGGAGCAACCUGCCGCAACGCAGGCAUCAGAUCCAGCACCCGCUGCGGACCCCCCAGCGGCGGAGUCUGAGCAAACGGAACAAGCAGCAGAAUAAUGAUAGGAUCAAAUCCAUAGGUCAUAAUAAAUUAUGUAUCACUGAAACGUUUAAAAAACCCACAUGGAUCUUAUUGGCAAUCAAGUUUUCUCUUUGACUCAUCUCUUACAAUUAAAAAAAAAGAUAAGCUCCGCUGAAUUCGAAAGCAUGAAAGAAGGCCCACAACAAGGGAGAUAAUCCGUCCAGGACUUUACUUAUAUAAAAUAGAACUCUCACUAUAUUUUCUCUGUGAUAUUUUUCUCGUAGCCACCGUUGGUGUGAAUGAUUUUCUUACUUUAUAUAUAUGUUUAUGUAUAUUAACGUGAUAUAUGGUGGUGGAUGGAAGCUGUGAAAGGAUGUGCGUAAAUGUUACAGCAGAAUCAGAUAUUAGGAUGUUGGUGCGUUGAAACUUUACUACACUGUGAUCUCUACCAGUAUUAUAUACUUUGGAGUCCCAAUAUCAGGACGACUACACACUGCUAACUUGACUAACUGUAUAGUGGUCUCUCUAAUGUACGGAUUUUUUUUCAAUGUCAUUCCCCUUAAAUUAAAAUAUCUUGAAUAAAUGGUUAUGUAUACUCUUAAUAAUAAUUUAAUCGGCAGUGUUAAUAUAGACGUUUAAAUGUCCACUGGUUACAUAUGUUUAUCAGUUAAUAAUAAAUUAUUAUAUACACUUAU
rnacentral:sRNA from 1 species